rnacentral:rRNA from 1 species
AUUGAACGCUGGCGGCAGGCCUAACACAUGCAAGUCGAGCGGAUGAGUGGAGCUUGCCCCAUGAUUCAGCGGCGGACGGGUGAGUAAUGCCUAGGAAUCUGCCUAUUAGUGGGGGACAACGUUUCGAAAGGAGCGCUAAUACCGCAUACGUCCUACGGGAGAAAGCAGGGGACCUUCGGGCCUUGCGCUAAUAGAUGAGC